rnacentral:rRNA from 1 species
UACGAAGGGGGCUAGCGUUGCUCGGAAUCACUGGGCGUAAAGCGCACGUAGGCGGAUCUUUAAGUCAGGGGUGAAAUCCCAAGGCUCAACCUUGGAACUGCCUUUGAUACUGGGGAUCUCGAGUCCGGAAGAGGUGAGUGGAACUGCGGAGUGUAGAGGUGAAAUUCGUAGAUAUUCGCAAGAACACCAGUGGCGAAGGCGGCUCACUGGCCGGUACUGACGCUGAGGUGCGAAAGCGUGGGGAGCAAACAGGG